rnacentral:rRNA from 2 species
AACUGCGAAUGGCUCAUUAAAUCAGUUAUCGUUUAUUUGAUAGUACCUUACUACUUGGAUACCCGUGGUAAUUCUAGAGCUAAUACAUGCAAAAAACCCCGACUUCGGGAGGGGUGUAUUUAUUAGAUAAAAAACCAAUGCCCUUCGGGGCUCUUUGGUGAUUCAUGAUAACUUAACGGAUCGCAUGGCCUUGCGCCGGCGACGGUUCAUUCAAAUUUCUGCCCUAUCAACUUUCGAUGGUAAGGUAUUGGCUUACCAUGGUUUCAACGGGUAACGGAUUUUUAGGGAAAGAUCCCGGAGAGGGAGCCUGAGAAACGGCUACCACAUCCAAGGAAGGCAGCAGGCGCGCAAAUUACCCAAUCCCGACACGGGGAGGUAGUGACAAUAAAUACUGAUACAGGGCUCUUUUGGGUCUUGUAAUCGGAAUGAGUACAAUUUAAAUACCUUAACGAGGAACAAUUGGAGGGCAAGUCUGGUGCCAGCAGCCGCGGUAAUUCCAGCUCCAAUAGCGUAUAUUAAAGUUGUUGCAGUUAAAAAGCUCGUAGUUGAACCUUGGGCCUGGCUGGCCGGUCCGCCUCACCGCGUGUACUGGUCCGGCCGGGCCUUUCCUUCUGGAGAACCCCAUGCCCUUCACUGGGCGUGGCGGGGAACCAGGACUUUUACUUUGAGAAAAUUAGAGUGUUCAAAGCAGGCCUUUGCUCGAAUACGUUAGCAUGGAAUAAUAGAAUAGGACGUGUGGUUCUAUUUUGUUGGUUUCUAGAACCGCCGUAAUGAUUAAUAGGGAUAGUCGGGGGCGUCAGUAUUCAAUUGUCAGAGGUGAAAUUCUUGGAUCUAUUGAAGACUAACUACUGCGAAAGCAUUCGCCAAGGAUGUUUUCAUUAAUCAGUGAACGAAAGUUAGGGGAUCGAAGACGAUCAGAUACCGUCGUAGUCUUAACCGUAAACUAUGCCGACUAGGGAUCGGGCGAUGUUUCUAUCUUGACUCGCUCGGCACCUUACGAGAAAUCAUAAGU